CCUACGGGAGGCAGCAGUGAGGAAUAUUGGUCAAUGGCCGUAAGGCUGAACCAGCCAAGUCGCGUGAAGGAAGAAGGAUCUAUGGUUUGUAAACUUCUUUUAUAGGGGAAUAAAGGUAUCCACGUGUGGAUAUUUGCAUGUACCCUAUGAAUAAGCAUCGGCUAACUCCGUGCCAGCAGCCGCGGUAAUACGGAGGAUGCGAGCGUUAUCCGGAUUUAUUGGGUUUAAAGGGUGCGUAGGUUGUUUUUUAAGUCAGCGGUGAAAGUUUGUGGCUCAACCAUAAAAUUGCCGUUGAAACUGGAAGACUUGAGUGUGUUUGAGGUAGGCGGAAUUCGUGGUGUAGCGGUGAAAUGCUUAGAUAUCACGAAGAACUCCGAUUGCGAAGGCAGCCUACUAAACUGCCACUGACAUUGAUGCUCGAAAGUGUGGGUAUCAAACAGGAUUAGAUACCCGGGUAGUC
rnacentral:rRNA from 1 species